UACGUAGGGUGCGAGCGUUAAUCGGAAUUACUGGGCGUAAAGUGUGCGCAGGCGGCCAGACAGGUCAGCUGUGAAAACUCGAGGCUCAACCUCGAGACGUCGGUUGAAACCGUUUGGCUAGAGUCCGGAAGAGGAGAGUGGAAUUCCCGGUGUAGCGGUGAAAUGCGCAGAUAUCGGGAAGAACACCCGUGGCGAAGGCGGCUCUCUGGGACGGUACUGACGCUGAGACGCGAAAGCGUGGGGAGCGAACAGG
rnacentral:rRNA from 1 species